rnacentral:sRNA from 1 species
UUUGAUGAAAAGCUGGAUUAUAGGAAAAAAGAUUUUUCACAUUAAUUUGGGAUCAUAGAAUUCACAUCCAACAAACUGGGGAGACUGGGCUCAGAGCCGGAGAGGGGAGACUCAGAUGGAGCUUGAGAACUGUGCAAAGCUACAUCCCAUUUCCCUUUGCAACUGCAAGGGCGGGAGAGACCGAUUUCUGAGUUGCGCUGAUUUGUGCUAUAGUAGACUUGGUAAUGAGAAAGCACAGUGCCUCCCUUUGUAGCCUCAGACUCCAGGCUCUCCUGUCUCAGUUCCCCAAGCAUCAGGAGGGCAGGUGUGCGCUGCCACAGCACUAGCAAGAACACGGAGAUUUCUGUGUUGCGUUAUCUUCUUCGAGGGCUGAGGCUGAGCCUGGGGUCUCCAUGUCAGUAGCAUCUUUCAAGGCUGUUCCUCUGCAGCUCUGAAACCUUUUUUUUUAAAAAUAUAAACCAAGUAUUUUGCCUUUUAAGUAGUGUUCAUAUAGCACUACAGCUAGGUAAACAAUGUGAAUUAGUAUACAUCAUCUCAAAAGCCAGAGUUUUGUUACCGUUGUUGUCGUUUUUAAUGAGUUGUUAAAAAGAUGCAGCCUAUUCUAACAGGAUAAAUAUUUUUAACCAUUUUACUUUGAGUUAAUGAAGGCUCACAAAUGAGCAACACUCCUCAUUGAGGAAAACAGAAAGGUGUUCUCGACAAGGGACAGUUCGCACACACAAGCAAAAAGAACUGUGUAAAAAUAACUAACUGUGCCCAUAUUAAACCUUGACCACUGGGGAGAUGCCUGAGGAGGUUCACUGUCAGAAUAUUCAAGCACUUGGGCACCCUCUAGAGGAACAACUUGAAAACCUUCAAAACUUCAUUUGGAAAUAAGAAGAAAACUCUGAUUUUACCUAAGGUAUAAAAUUUUAAGCUCAGAGUUACCACUUGGACUUUUUUAUUUAAAAACCUCUCUGGAAGGUGUCUUGCUCUAAAGCACCCAUGAAAUGGGCGCAGCCACUGUCUUUGCUACUGUUCCAGUCCUUUCUGUACAGCAACACAGGGACAAUCAUCUCCAAUUUCUGAACUGCAGUAAAUUGUGAGCACUGCUACAGUGUGGGACAGCUAGCUUUCCUCCAGUUCUUAGGGAUAGCAUUCUUAACAUUUGAAUGCCUGUAGCAUCGCGCAUCUUUGGCCCUUCUUCCUCCCUCCUUCCUGUCCUUCUAUUUGUCUGUGCUAGACAAGGUUCUGCCAUUAGACUGUCACCCAAUAUCUGAGUUUCUUUUCAUAGGAUUAAAUCACCAAAUCAUAUAAAGUGAUAUCCCCUGAGAUGACAGCUUGUUUCCAUGUCACUUCCUUAUGGCUGUUCUUUUGAGAAAGGCUCUCAAUGCACAGCCCAGGCUUAACACAACCUAGAGACCCUCUUGCCUCUGACUCCCAGUCUAUAUCACUUUCAUCUGCAAUGAGAUUAAAAGCUCAAGUUUCAACUUUUGUCCCCAGUACUGGGAGCUUUCUCUCUUGAAGAUGUUCUGGUAAUUUAGUGGGCCAGCAUUGAUUUGAAUCAGUUUGACUUUGGGUUGGUAAAAAUUUUCACUGAGUUCAUGGACUUCAUUUCUUCUCUUUGAGAGUCUCUGAGAACUUGGUUCUUAUUUUAUUCUUCAGGGCUCAAGAGUCCAGAGAUUAGAAAUAUACCAAAGGUGAAGAUUCCAGUAAGAAACCUUGUCCCAUAAACUCAGGCCUUAAAGAGAAGGCUAAGGAUGACUUAGAAGUAAAGGCAAUGUAUUUUUACACUCUGUUCAUGGGGAGAAUAAAAAUCAGUAAGAUAGAUGGAAAGAGGACACUAAAGAAAACAGAGACCAGCCCAUGAGACCUUACAGGUAUCUGUUGGUUGGGGUUCUCUGUGACCUUGUAGCCCCAACAUCAUCUCACCUGGAUGUUCUACUAACAUCAUGCCUGGUUGAGUUUACAGUUGUUUAAGAUCAGACAUAGUACCACUGUCGUAGUCAAUGUUCUAUUGCUAUGAAGAGACACCAUGACCAUGACAACUGUUACAGAGGAAAACUUUUAAUUGGGACUGGUUUAACAUUUUCAGGGGUCUAGUCUAUUAUUAUUAUAUGGGGGGUGGGAACACAGGAAGCCAUGGUACUAGAGAGGUAGCUGAGACUUGUACAUUCCAAUCAGCAGGCAGCAGGAAGGGAGCAAAGACAUUGGGCCUAGCUUGACCAUUGUUAGAUUCUCUUUUUGAUCACCAAGAAACAAAUAGAUCUGUGGAAAUUUCUAGGCAAAUGUGGUGGUUAGGCCCUGUAAUUCUAACAACCUGGAGACAGAGAAUCAGUCAUGGUGAAGACCAACUUCAGCCCAGAGUGAGACCCUGUUUCAAAAAAAAAAAAAAAACCCACAAAGAAAAACAAAAAAACAAGAGAGUGAAGAAAUGUACCACACCUUGAUUACAAAGCCUUCUGGAUACCCUGAGAGAUUACUGGGGUCAGGUUAGUUGGACAAUAAAUCUUAACAGUGAAGAGCACUGAUUAAUCAAUAGGCCUUGACUGUAUAUAAAGAGAAAGGGGGUGGAGCAUAAGUAUUCAUUGCUCUCUGCGUUCUCAGGGUAGAUACCAUAUAGAUAGCUGCUCAACCUGCCAUGGUGGACUGUGGCCUCCAAUUGUUGGCCAACGUACACCCAUUCAUUAAGUUGAUUCUCGGGCAUGUGUUUUAGUAAUGGGGAAGGAACUCAUGUGGUAGGACAACUACAAAUCCGUGUCAACAGGCAGGCAUGUUAAAAAUAGGGAAAGGGUCCAGAAGAAGCUUCAUAAACAAGAAAAUCUCCAAAUUGCAGUCUUUAAGUAUGCUUCCUAGGCAAGCGCUCUACCACUGAGCUAAAUCCCCAACCCCAAUAGUGAGAUAACAAGUCCAGAAUAGAUAAACAGAAAAGUCCAACAAUAGAAGUGUUACUGAGGACGCAGAAUGAUAGGGGGCACCCAAAAUCCCGGGAUGUGGUGUAAGUUGGCAAACAUUUUUAUGCCAAUAAAACUAGGUGUGCAUAUACCCUGUGGUCAUGAAGGCACAUGCCUGUGUACACUGCAUUAGAGGAUCUGCCUUCUCAGAUCUAAAUCCUCCAUUUCAAGUUGCAGGAAGCAGAGCCACACUGACUGCUGGGUGAGUCUGCAGGGUGAGUCCAAAAAAGUCAUAAGUGCUGUGGAUCCCCCUCAAUCCUGCAAUUCUUGAGGGAACUAGCUACAAAUGGUCCAGAUUUGGCUCCUCAACACUUGGUUAAGUUGUGAGUGAGAGCAGGGUAUGUAGUCUCUGGGGCCUGAAAAACAUUUGACUGUCAUUCUCGGAAUUAAUCUGCUGUGCAUGACUAAAAGAAUCUGCACCCAGGAACUACUAGCGGGCAGCUUGGUGACAUUAAACAUGUACCCUUUCCCUGGAGAUUCCCCGGAGUGACCUUAGAUUGGUCCCAUUUCUAGCUGAUAGAAUUGGAGGUAGCAUUUAGAUUGGCUAUGAGCUCCCUGCUUCUGAUCUUUUGGAUUAUCAGAGUUUAAUGUCUUUCCUACAAAAAAAGACAACAUAAGAAAAGUACAAUUUAUUGAGGUUGGAAGCCCACUGUGGCUGGCAUCAUUACCAUGACAUCAUUCUGUGAGUAGCAUAUGAAACUGGGCUCUAGCAUUCAUGUGGUAAUUUGUGCCAAAAACAAGUUUGCUGAGUGAUCAAGACAAGAGAGAUGAAGUGAUAGAAAAUAUUUGGUAACUUAAGAACAUACGAUUUUAAAGUUUUAAGCUUGGAAAGUUGUUAUAAUCAUACAAAUAUUAUUUUAAAAUGUUUUAUGUGUUCAAACAUGUAUGGCUUAAUUAAACGAUUAAUGAAACAUAUAAAUCUAAAGAAAAUGAGAAAACUAUCAUUAUAAGAACUGUGUCUGUUUUAUCUUUAGUGGGUUAGAGACUCUGGUGAUGACCUAUAUUCUGUAGCCCCGUUUAGCAGGGUGUGGUGACACUGGGUGCUGAGGACCACAAUGUAUGGGCUUUCACCAUUGGUUCCAAGCUCUGUGUCAGGAUCCUCUCUGUCCACAUAAGGUUUCUACUCUGGAACUUUUGGUCAAGCUCAGACAUAAGCAAGGGCUCAGCCUUGUGAAUAGUCCUCUGGGUCUGUUGCAGGGUCUUUAAGAAUGUGACAGGGGAAUGGCUAGUAACUUUUACCUAGUGAACAUCUCAAUAUGGGGGGCAUCUGACCCAUAGAGCAAAAGGUAGGAGGUUAGCCCAAUUUUCAUAGCUUUCAUCGACAGAUUUAUUUUACCCUUCCUGAUUUUUGCAGCCUCUAUGCAUAAUGUAAUUUUAGAUGAACAUAUAGGGCCUUUGCCAGAUUUAGGGGAAAGUUUGAUCAUGAAGGUGAGGGCAUUGUCAUCUCAGAGGUAGAGGCAACCCAUAUACAGAAUUUUUUGUCUUCUGAUAACAGCAGAGAGUAUGGGUCUCUUGUUCAACAAGAACUACCAUCCAUUUGCCUCCUGUUUCUUUUUGUUACUUGGUUUCUUCCUGUGUUCUUUCUGUCAAGGUGAGGAGUCCCCUCUCUCUAAAGAGGGCCUAUGGACACUGGCAUUGGCAAAUGCAUGUCAACUGUUCGUAGUAUGCAUGUCUUUGCCCUUCUCCCAGCAAAAUGAAUGGGAUAAAGCCAGAAGGUCAGCCCUUUGUGUUGAAGUCCAUUGGCUGAGGGACUGGGCCUAUAUCAUCCUGGGUGGUGACCACUGCAACCUAGUAUAUCUGAUUCCGUGUUGAACAAAGCUGCUCCAUAUAAAACCUCUUCAUGUCUUUGGAAGUGCAGAGUGCAGCUGCAGUGGAGCCCAGAGUGGAAGCCAGAGGCUUCCACCAGCCCCAGAGCAGAGCAGGAUGCAGCAGCCACAACUGCAGAGGUAGCAGCAAUCAGGCCUGGGUUCCUGCUUAAGACGGGAGAUGAAGCUGAUCACAUCCACCUUCGACCACAGCUGUGGUUGUUUCUGUAUUGUCAGACCCUGCCUGUAGGAUCUGAGCUUUGAGCUCCUGUUGAUCAGAACUGGAGGAGCCAGAGCCAGGGCAGUUCCUGGAGUACAUUUCCCCUUAUGAGGGUUGUUAUGAGGCCUCUCCACAUCCAUGGCUAUGUCCCUCCUCUGUUCGGUGGAGUCUGAUGACCUGAACUUGGCUGCUGUAUUGGAGUGGCUCCUUUGGGUUAAAAUCUGGUAGUGGGCUGGCUGGGCUGAUGGGUAUCAUUUUAUUAAGUCAGAUAUGGGUCUGGCCCAGAAGAUGUGCCUCAUAAUGGGUUAUUUCAAUGUUAUGCAUCCACUUACUGCAGUUCCCCACAGGAGGUCCAUUAUAAUGAUGGAGAUGUAAGUUAAUAACAGUUCCUGGCACAAAGUCAAUGUAUUUAUUAGUACAGUUGUAGCAGCAACUGAUCACAAAAAAGCAGGCCAAACAAGAUCAAGUCUUUUGGAUAGAUAGGCCACUAGCCUCCUCCAGGGUCACAGUGCCUGAGACAUCCAUCAUAGCCAUCCUUACUCCACAAAACUCCUUCUGGGCCUGUGUCCACUACCCACAAUACUACUCAGGAGCCCCUACUGCUAGCAUCACCAUAGCAACGGUAGCACCGACUUGCAGCCACAGUUGCUGCCAGAAGAGGGGUGCAGCAUGGAUGGGCCAGCAUGACCUAUGAGCCUAUGGGAAGUUGUGUAUCAUCCCAGGGGCAGCAGUAGCUGUUGUCCCAGGAGGGCUCACUUCCCUUCUCUUUUAGAUCUUUGACUCCAAUCAAUAGAAGUGACAGAAAUAUACAGAGAGAUAAAUACAUAGAGAAAAUUAUCAGGGUCCCAACCAUACAUUCAUGCACCUGAAGAGACCAUAUGGACCCCAGUCAUAGAUCCUUACCACCUGCAUCUCACUGGCAUCCUAAACAGAAGGUGCCUUAACCAGACUUAACUCUAGAGGUGACAAACCAGGCAACUUUCAAUUUUGAUCCAUUUUUAGGCUGGAGGUGUCAGAUUCUUUUAAAGUAUUGGCCGUCAAAGAGAUUUCAUGAGGAACAUCUUAGGUUGUACAACUCUCAGAGUUCUUGACCAUUACAUUCUUUCCAGCUCCAGGGAUCUCCAAGUUCACCAGUGUUUCAAGGUCUGGACCCGAGAUGGAGGUGUGUUAUUGGGAGUGGAUUUUGAGGUUGCAAAGGCCCCCACCAUUCCCAGUUAGCAUUUGUUUUCUUCUACUUCUUCAUCAACUUCGGAGCUCUCAGCUGUUCAUGCCACAUGUUCUUGCUCUAAAACUCUGAAAUUGCAAGUCCCCAAUUAAAUAUGUUGUUCUAUAUGUCGCCUGGGUCACCUGUUUAGUUCUUCUUAGUUCUAGCAUUCUGUUAAUUGAAAUAACAACAAAAAUCAAGCUUUCUGAUUUUGUAGAUUCUUUGCCAGGGCAUGGUAAGAUCUAGCUACCUUCAUUGUGAUGAUUUU